ensembl:lncRNA
GAUCUUCCUGGCCCAGAGAUCAAACGCCUGUUUCCUGCGUUGCAGGCAGUUUCUUUAUCACACAGUCACCAGGGAAGGCCAAAACCAAAGAUGGGGCUUCUUCUAACCUGAAGUCCUAGUGCCAAAAGGAAGCACCAAAAUUGUGUGUGUGUGUGUGUGUGUGUGUGUGUAGAAAGACACACACACAGAGGCAGGUAUAACAGUCAAGUCGUAGGUUGUUAGAGGCAGCAGGGCGCUACAGAUGGCUGUGAGGAUGGAGAGGCCUCUGAACUGAAGGCCUCCUGGUUAAAUGUGAGUGACUCUUGAUGACUCUGACUGGUCAUUUGUACAAAGGAUAACUUUAUGUUCAUGGACACAAGCAAUUCAGAGGACCUAGGACCGAUCAGGGUGCAUUUGCCAAUUUGCCUUUCCCAGAAGACCCUCAAAUUCCCUUUCCAUACAGCUUUCUGCUUAUAGUCUGCUAGGGAUUAGAGAUCUAGAAAAGAAAAUUAUUAGACUACUAUUCACAUUAAAGAUACAAAAAUUGUGAAUGAGAUUGUGGAAUUGCAUAGGAUUUAAUCCACAGAUGGUUUGAUACAUAUAGUGGAUUCUAUGUUAUUCCGCGAGAGUAAGGAUUUUAAGGUAUGUCACUCACAUAUAAAAAUAGUGAAUUUUAUUAUAUAUAAUUAUUAAAAAUGUUUGUUGAACAGGACUAAGUUAGGAGUGUGAAGAAUUACGAAGCUUUUGCAACAAGUAAAGUAUAAUUUCAUAAUUGGUUGGAAAUUUUAUGUUCAAGACGUUGUAAAAUAAUGGUAAUGUGAUCUUUCAUUAGGAAGAAAAUAUGUAAUCACAUGAAGAAAUGGUACAUUUAAAAGGGUAACCUUUGUUAAGAAUUUUAUUUAUAAAUUAUAGGAAACAUGUGACUAAAUACAUAAUUAGAAUUAAAGUAUUAUACAUACACUGUAAGAGUUCUGCCCUAAACAAGGGUUUAAAAUAUGACAUGUCAACUCAAAAAAUCAAAGGAUAAAGAACUGUGUUUAUAUAAAAAUUAUUAGGAGUGCAUUUCCAAUUAAGGAGUCAUUGAGUCCUUGCUCUGGACAUCAUCUUAUUCCAUCUUGCGCUGUACUGUUACUCAGCUGUGUCUCUUUGCGACCCCAUGGAGCCCCCCACCAGGCUCCUCCAUCCAUGGGAUUCUCCAGGCAAGAGUACUGGAGCGGGUUGCCAUUUCCUCCUCCAGGGGAUCUUCCCAACCCAGGGAUGGAACCUGGGUCUCCUGCCCUGGCACGCCGGCAGGCAGGCUCUUUACCACUGAGCCACCUGGGGGUCCCUCUGCUUCCCUCUAGUCCUACCCAAGUCCACACUUUGUAAAUUCCGUUUUGUUUUUCAG